UGUAAAGAUACCAGCGUAGUUCACAUAAUCUGUAGCGAAUACUACGUGAGACGCACUUCCGGCUACACCUUUAAGUAAGUUAAAUUGCUGAUCAGUUAACACCGCAUAUAAAGUUACCAAAGGCUAAAACCAUAAAAUUGAACCCAGCAAUUGCACUACUUUACCAUGACCCAGAUUCUCCUUAAAUCCUUCUGGAACGACGAAGAUAUAUAUAUAUUUCGUGGAACAUGAUCAUGAUACUUACUAAGAGGAAAACGAACUAGCAUUCGUGCCGGCGUACUUGGUUCCGGAACGCUCAAUUCACCGGUGUAAUGAUACUCGUGCUUCAAUGGCGUAAGACC